UUAUUUUUCAGGUGGAGUGAAGACAAGAUAAAAUUAUUUCGCAAAAGGAUUUUUAUUUCAAGAGAUUUUGAAAAUUUUUAUGUAUAAUUGAAAUUACGUAUUAAGUAUGUAGUUGCUGUAAAUAGUUAAUUACUUUUAUUGAAAUUAUUUGUGAUUGCGGUAACCCAUUAAAUUUAAUAAAAUUCCAUUUAAUCGUUUGGCUCGAAUAAUUAAUUAACUGCUGAGUGAUUUAAUUACUAACAAUAUAAAUAAAUUUUUUAAAAUUACAGUGCCACGGUUGGUGGUGAGGAAAGUCGAGGCACUCAAUUCUUACAACAACAAACCGAGUUCUCUUAGAUGUUCACGCUGUGGAAAACAGUACCAGCGGGAAAAAUCAUUCAGAAAACACCAAAGAUUUAAAUGCGAAUCGAUUUGGAAGACAGAAGAUCCGUUCGACCAAGAAAUUUAUGGCCGCCAAUCGGAAAACGAGGAAGAUGACAGAGAUUACAAAGUAGUAAAUUUAAAAAUAGAAGAACCCGAAAGAAGAUUUAUUUGCUUAAGAUGCGGAAAGUGUUACAAAGCACAGCGUUCAUUGUCGCGGCACAAACAUCACGAGUGUGGGAUCGAACCGCGGAACACGUGCGCGAACUGCGGCCGGAAGUUCGCGCACAAAUUCAAACUUGUGAGACACUUGAGGUCUUGCGAGAGAAAUCUAGAGAGAUAAAAUUAUUUUUAUUUAAUAUUUAUUAUUAAUAUAAUUGAUGUUAUUAUUUUUUUCUACUAUAGUAUAUUAAUUUCCUGUACUCAAUCUCACGAUGUAAAAUUAUUUAAAAUGAGCACUGUUUAAUUGUUUAGAGCUGGCUGAUGUUUAAUUAAAUAUAUAAACUAUAAAUCACUUGUUUAAUUUUUUUUUUUUUAAUUAUGACAAUAAAUUUAUUCAUUUCUCUGCUAUUUUUUCUGUGACUGUCAUGGUCUCACUUGGCUACUGAUUACUUGAGCACGCGCCUGAGAAACUCGUGUAAUAUUUAUUUACUUAUAAUUAAUUGUAAUAAUUAAUGAUGAUAAUAAUAAUCAGUAAUGAGUGCAAUAAUAAACUGACUGAUUAUUUAAAUAUUUUGUUUCAGAUAUCAAGGAAUUAUUGGAGGUAUCGCAGUCAUCCUCAGACGCAGAAGAUUAUUAUCCACAAAAUCUUCUUGGUGUCGCGUACAAAACUUCGGUUAAUGAAUCAAAAGAAGUACGAGAUCGUGAUGGAAAAUAUGUCUGUACAAAAUGUGGCAAAUCUUAUAUCGCUGCGACAUCACUGAGACGGCACAGACGUCUCGAGUGUGGUGUCGAUCCAUCUGAGAAAUGUCACAUUUGUAACAGACGAUUCAGACACAAAUUUGUUCUUACUGCUCAUGUACAAAAUUGUGAAAGAAAAUUAAUCAGUCUCGGUAUCAUUCCUUUGGUCGAAACAAAUGACGACUAAAUUAUAAAAAAAAAAAAAAAAAAGAAA